rnacentral:rRNA from 1 species
GAUGAACGCUGGCGGCGUGCUUAACACAUGCAAGUCGAACGGUGAACGAGGGAGCUUGCUCCCUCCGGAUCAGUGGCGAACGGGUGAGUAACACGUGAGCAAUCUGCCCUGGACUCUGGGAUAAGCGUUGGAAACGACGUCUAAUACCGGAUACGAGGCGUGGGGGCAUCCCCAACGCCUGGAAAGAACUUCGGUCCAGGAUGAGCUCGCGGCCUAUCAGCUUGUUGGUGAGGUAACGGCUCACCAAGGCGACGACGGGUAGCCGGCCUGAGGGGGUGACCGGCCACACUGGGACUGAGACACGGCCCAGACUCCUACGGGAGGCAACAGUGGGGAAUAUUGCACAAUGGGCGCAAGCCUGAUGCAGCAACGCCGCGGGAGGGACGACGGCCUUCGGGUUGUAAACCGCUUUUAGUAAGGAAGAAGGGGCUUCGGCCUUGACGGUACUUGCAGAAAAAGGACCGGCUAACUACGUGCCAGCAGCCGCCGUAACAC